rnacentral:lncRNA from 1 species
AUAAAAGAAAAUGAAAAAAAAGAAACAACUCAGCAAAGGUGAAGCUUUAGUAUACAAUUGGAAUAGAAUGUUGACAGUAAAAAGUUUGCUAGAAUCAAUAAUGACAAAUAAUUAAAAUCUUGAAUUCCUCUCACGAGUUUCACAUUCCAUAAAGUAGAAAAUACAUACAUAUUUUAUAAAUAUAAAAUAAUGCCACAUAUAGGUAGUUCAGGGUGUAAGGGUUACAAAUGGCUGUAUUCUUGGCUUCACUCAUCAAUGCUCUGGGUAUACCCCACUUGUGUCAAAAAAUAUAAAAAUAAAUACAUUGGGUAUAUCCCACAUACAUUUUGGUAUCUGCAGGUACCGAGAUUUCCAUGCGACUCUGAGAGGCAGAUUUUCGAUGAGUGAGUUGCUCUCAGUUUCACCCCUUCCGCUCUACGAAGACAAACUCCAUGUAAAAAAAGCAGAAGAAUCCACAUUCUCGACUCAGACACAUAUAUUGACUAGUAAACGACUGUUAAUUGUGUGAAAGUUCUCGACAUACACACUGAUAGACUAUAUGAAUGAAAGACAUGAUGACUAAUGAGAUCGUUUAGGUCAGGAGCUGGAAUAAAUCUAUUGUUGUCAUCAGUAAAUUAGUUUGGUUUUUGGCGACUUAAACAAGCACAAGAUUAGUAGCCCAUGGUGGAAAACCACGCUGAAGCUCCGAUUCAGGUUGCAAAAGCUGGGUACAGUUAGUUGCCCAAAAUAGCGGGAUCCAGGCUUAGCAUCUUGCAACAACCAGGCUUUGCAACGUGACUCCGGGCUUCAAUUUUGAGUUCUCUGUCAUAGACUUGUAUGUGAGAAAGCCUGUGUUGUUGAACUAUAGCCACUGGGAGUUCACAAGCUUAGCAGGUUGGGGUUUCAAAUUAAAGUCAACAGGCGGACAUUCCGAGGCGGUUUUCCAGGCCUGCUCGAAAAGAAGCAAUGCAGGAGAUGUUUUAGUCUGGGCAGAGAUUCAAUUUCAGUUAAGAAAGGUCAGAUACAGUGGUUGUAUGAUACUGUCCAGAAUGGUUCCCAGCGUACCCUAGUUUUCAAAUUUUACCGAGCCCCUGCAUUUGAUUCUAUUGUAUUGGUUGUUGAACUCUUACAUUUGAUCCAGGAUAUGGUUGUUUCUGAAAACUCGAAGGGAUCUGUGAUUUACCUGAAGGCUCUUGUUCUCUUUGGAUGCCUCCCUUGCUCUGAAUAUUUGCUACAUAGUGACAAUGUUGUGGCAAAGGAAUGGCAACUGACUCAUAGUGAAGUCGCUUCAGAAUGGAGACAACGUGAGCUUGCCAAAAACUAUGGCAGUUUCCACUUUCCAACUUUAGGGUUAUUGUUGGCUACUGGAAGGCCUGAAUAUCUCAAUCACAACGCUUCACAAACCUGGCAGAAAAGUUCCUCUGUGAUUGAGAUCCGUACGUUAGCUCGACAAUUGUAUUCAAUCGCUUACGAAAGAAAUACAAAUCUCAUGACUCAAUUCCUCCAAUAUAGUUGCCUGAGAUCGUCGACAAGUUCAUGUAAUAAAAAUGAGUAGAAGUUUGUUAUCAAUCUGGUUUCAGACUGGAAAAUACCGAUUGAAGACUGAAGAACGUGGGAGAGAGACAAAAGGGUGUUAGUAAUGUUCAAGGGGCAUAAAUUUGCCUACCAAAGGACACAAUCAUUGGCCAAAAGGCACGUCACAAGGACAAUGGAGCCAAAAUGAAUUAACAGUU